GCCUAACACAUGCAAGUCGAGCGCACCUUCGGGUGAGCGGCGGACGGGUUAGUAACGCGUGGGAAUAUACCCAGAUCUACGGAAUAGCCUCGGGAAACUGAGAGUAAUACCGUAUACGCCCUUCGGGGGAAAGAUUUAUCGGAUUUGGAUUAGCCCGCGUUGGAUUAGGUAGUUGGUGGGGUAAUGGCCUACCAAGCCUACGAUCCAUAGCUGGUUUGAGAGGAUGAUCAGCAACACUGGGACUGAGACACGGCCCAGACUCCUACGGGAGGCAGCAGUGGGGAAUCUUAGACAAUGGGGGAAACCCUGAUCUAGCCAUGCCGCGUGAGUGACGAAGGCCCUAGGGUCGUAAAGCUCUUUCAACUGUGAAGAUAAUGACGGUAGCAGUAGAAGAAACCCCGGCUAACUCCGUGCCAGCAGCCGCGGUAAUACGGAGGGGGUUAGCGUUGUUCGGAAUUACUGGGCGUAAAGCGCACGUAGGCGGACUAUUAAGUCAGGGGUGAAAUCCCGGGGCUCAACCCCGGAACUGCCUCUGAUACUGGUAGUCUUGAGUUCGAGAGAGGUGAGUGGAAUUCCGAGUGUAGAGGUGAAAUUCGUAGAUAUUCGGAGGAACACCAGUGGCGAAGGCGGCUCACUGGCUCGAUACUGACGCUGAGGUGCGAAAGUGUGGGGAGCAAACAGGAUUAGAUACCCUGGUAGUCCACACCGUAAACGAUGAAUGCCAGACGUCGGGCAGUAUACUGUUCGGUGUCACACCUAACGGAUUAAGCAUUCCGCCUGGGGAGUACGGUCGCA
rnacentral:rRNA from 1 species